rnacentral:tRNA from 1 species
GCCUGGGUGGCUCAGUCGGUUGAGCGUCCGACUUCAGCUCAGGUCAUGAUCUCACCGUUCGUGAGUUCGAGCCCCGCGUCGGGCU